rnacentral:misc_RNA from 1 species
GUUUUAUGAAUAGAGAUUACAAAUUCACCUAGACAUUGCUUGAUCUUGGGGAGGAACAUUUACUUGUACAUUAUGAUACUGUCUUCCUUGUCGUUGAGCAAGUAUCCCAUUCCAUCCCAUCAUCAAAAUCCACUGUUAACUAAUUUUAUUCAUUUUUGGUAUUUUUCAUACCCUUUAAUAUUUCUGAACAAAAUGGAUUGCAUUUAAUUAGAAAAAAAAAUAGAGGGAGUACCUAGAGCAGGAUCAAGUCCUUUGUUUCUCAGCUCUCUAAACUCCUGACAAAGGGAACAAAAUGGGCAGAAGAAGUGAGAGAUGACAUCAGUGUAAGGAGCUUCCACCAGAUUGUAAAUCCUCCUCAAUUUUGCUCUGUACUUGGAACCCAUAAUCCAUUGAAAGCACAGGGUAGGCAUCAUUAUCACGUAAAUAAAACUCCCCAAAGGACAAGUCAACUCUCCCUCAUCCAGUGCUUCUACAAUCUGCCCAAAUGUUACACAAGGGAAAAAUGCUGUCAUAAUAGCAUUUGUUUGAUAUUCAUGACAGUCGAAUAAUCCUGUUGUCCAAGGAUGUCCAAGAACCAUGUUAUUUCCGAGCACCACAGGAGCUGUAGUGGAAUAAUCUUGAUGAAGAAUCCCAGGUUGAAUAUUAUCCUGAACUUGAUGCCAAGUUUGUGGUGC